rnacentral:tRNA from 1 species
GCCUUCGUGGCUCAGUUGGUCAGAGCAUCCCUCUCGUAAAGGGAAGGCCGCCGGUUCGAUUCCGGCCGAGGGCU